rnacentral:tRNA from 14 species
AGGAGUGUAGCUCAGCUGGUAGAGCAUCGGUCUCCAAAACCGAGGGUCGUGGGUUCGAGUCCCUCCGCUCCUGCCA